rnacentral:tRNA from 1 species
UCCCUGGUGGCUCAGAUGGUAAAGCGUCUGCCCGCAAUGCAGGAGACCCAGGUUCGAUCCCUAGCUUGGGAA